CUCACACCGAAAUAUAUAUUCAGUGAUGUCAUCAAACUAUAACAAUAGAUGGGGUUCACUGUCCUGCUGUUGAAAUAACUAACAUUUUCAUUUAUUAGAAUAACAGAUUGUACAUUGCAAGGCUAUCAAGUACAAAAUAAAAGUUGUAAAAUAUAUUUUAAGUUUAAGCUAGAAUUUCUCCAAGACCAGUAGUAACCCGUGGGACGUUGUUUGCAUCGGAUUAUACACCUACAUGCCUUGCCUGACCAUUUCAUCUAAUCUAGAAUGCAAUGAAGUUGAAGGAUUAAAUUUGCUAUAGUGUGGACACAGGAGGGAGUGCAAUGUCACUUUCAAGAUGAUUAACAUUGGUAAUGGUUCCAUAAUAAUUACCUUUCACACUUUAUGCAGUGUAUUUCGCAGUGGCCUUAUGUAUAUUCUUUAUGAAAUAUUCUGUAUAAAAAUGUAUUGUAUGAAAAC